UACGUAGGUGACAAGCGUUGUCCGGAUUUACUGGGCGUAAAGAGCGCGCAGGCGGUCGAUCAAGUCGAGUGUGAAAGCCCCCGGCUCAACUGGGGAGGGUCAUUCGAUACUGAUCGACUCGAAGGCAGGAGAGGGUAGUGGAAUUCCCGGUGUAGUGGUGAAAUGCGUAGAUAUCGGGAGGAACACCAGUGGCGAAGGCGACUACCUGGCCUGUUCUUGACGCUGAGGCGCGACAGCGUGGGGAGCGAACUGG
rnacentral:rRNA from 1 species